rnacentral:misc_RNA from 2 species
UCAAGUUCGAACAGUCAAAAGAAUAGUAUCAACAGCGAUUUAUAGCGAGCUCACAGACGGUGUAAGGUGGGUAAUCAAGUUGACGCGGCGUGCUUUUGGUUGAACAAUUGCAUACUAUUGAGUGGAUCGAUUGAUCAAUCAGAGUGGUACCGCGGGAAUUCUCGUCUCUUUC